ACUGUCAGACUCUGCAUUAAUACUGCAGUGGUUAUCUGCUGAGUGCAUCCUAGAUUAAACCAUCUUUCAAUAACCUUAAAAGUAAUUCAACACUCAAUAUUUAAUGCUGUUUUGUUUAGCUUUUUCCCAAAUCUCUUGAAAAUAUUUUGUUCACCUGGAUCAAAAAAAUGAAGUUAAGCACAGUGGUGGGAGCAUCAUGAUAUGAAGCACGGUGGUGGUCGCAUCGUGAUGUGAAGCAUGGUGGUGGUAGCAUCAUGAUGUGAAGCAUGGUGGUGGCAGCAUCAUGAUGUGAAGCAUGGUGGUGGCAGCAUCAUGAUGUGAAGCAUGGUGGUGGUAGCAUCAUGAUGUGAAGCAUGGUGGUGGCAGCAUCAUGAUGUGAAGCAUGGUGGUGGUAGCAUCAUGAUGUGAAGCAUGGUGGUGGCAGCAUCAUGAUGUGAAGCAUGGUGGUGGUAGCAUCAUGAUGUGAAGCAUGGUGGUGGCAGCAUCAUGAUGUGAAGCAUGGUGGUGGUAGCAUCAUGAUGUGAAGCAUGGAGGUGGUAGCAUCAUGAUAUGAAGCAUGGAGGUGGCAGCAUCAUGAUAUGAAGCAUGGAGGUGGUAGCAUCAUGAUGUGAAGCAUGGUGGUGGCAGCAUCAUGAUGUGAAGCAUGGUGAUGGUAGCAUCAUGAUGUGAAGCAUGGAGGUGGUAGCAUCAUGAUAUGAAGCAUGGUGGUGGUAGCAUCA